rnacentral:lncRNA from 1 species
GGACAAGGGGGAGACCCAGACCUUUCUGGAUUUAUCCAAAUCUUCAGUUCUGCUUGGUGCCGAGCAAAUCCUCACAGAGCCCAUCCUGGGUUAGAUGAAUUGGCUUCCAAGGAUGACCAAACAGCUGUGCUGUCUCAGCUCUCCUAACCCACGGCUCCCCAUGCCCCACUCUCUGAAUUCAAAACUGGAGCCUGGAGCACUCCUGGAAAAGCCCCUCUUACCUGGAUGCUGCGGUGCUCCGGGUGAAUCUGAGAACUUGCGACUCACGCGUGGAAAGGGAGAGCGCGCAACCCCUGGCUGCUAGGCACUCCCGGGACAAGGAUGACAAGGAUCCCUCCCGCCUUGGCCGGGCAAAGCAGUUAUAAAGGCUUCUGUCGCCGGAGGGAGGGAGAGGGUGAACCGAGGGACAAGGGGCGGGGGCGGGGCGGAGGGAGAGGACACGCCUAAUCCAGUUCCGCGGCACUUCUCGCUGUUCUGAAAAUAAAGUCACCGUGCCAGAG